ACCUAGUAGUGCACUUGCUGAAUGGAAGGAUAGUUUCAUUUUUGACUUUUCAAGGAACCUCCUUCUGCUUUCCAGAGUGGCUGCACAAGUUUGCCCUCCCGCCAUCACUCGGCCUCUUUCUGAUAGGAUGAGCUCUGAGCUAUGAGCCAGGUACUCAGGGAUAGCCUGGGGCUCCAUCCCGACUGAACCAGACCAUCGGUGACUCUGCAUUAUGACAAGGCAGUGCCAACGUAAAUCUCCGAGUCCUACGUAUCCAGGUGUCCCAAGUCACAGGAGAGAAUGAAGUCCAGAGAGGCUGGGACACUCACUAAGACCCGGGAAGGUGAACUUCAUCAGUAGCGGGGGAAGAAUACGGUUCCUGGGUUCCUGGUGCGAUUACUCAGCGCUGCCCAAACACUAUGUUCUGUGUCUGCGCUAAUACUGCAGCCUCAAGCCACAGGUGAGUGCUUGAAACAUGGCUUGUGCAACGAAAGGGCUGAAUUUUAAACUUUAUUUAAUUUUUAGC
rnacentral:lncRNA from 1 species